UAGGGAAUCUUCCGCAAUGGACGAAAGUCCGACGGAGCAACGCCGCGUGAGUGAAGAAGGAUUUCGGUUCGUAAAACUCUGUUGUCAGGGCAGAAAAAAUGUAUAGUAACUAUAUACAAAAGAGACGGUACCUAACCAGAAAGCCACGGCUAACUACGUGCCAGCAGCCGCGGUAAUACGUAGGUGGCAAGCGUUGUCCGGAAUUAUUGGGCGAAAAGCACGCGCAGGUGGUUUAGAAAGUCUGAUGUGAAAGCCCACGGCUCAACCGUGAAGGGUCAUUGGGAUCAAAUAAACUUGAGUGCAGGGGAGGAACGUGGAAGUCCUGGUGGAGCGGUGAAAUGAGUAGAGAUUAGGAGGAACACCGGUGGCAAACGCGGCUUUUUGGCCUGCAACUGACACUGAGGCGCGAAAACGUGGGGAGCAAACAGG
rnacentral:rRNA from 1 species